CAAACGCUCUUUGAAAAUGAGGGGCAGCGAGGCGCAGCUUUCCGAGCACUCCUUGGCAUUCAUGUAUGUGAGUGAACUAUUUACAGAGUUUCAGAGAAAAAGGAAGUGUGUACAAAGGCUGCCUUGAGCAACAGGGGGAUGCUGGCUCAGGCAGUGAAGAGUGAAAAGAAGAAGUAGGCACUGUGGGAGAACUGGUAAAGAUGAGCUCUGGAUUUGAGGCCUAAGACGAAGAGUCACUGCCAUUAGAUCCACAUCAUCACAAUUGUAACAUCAAAACAAGUGCUGUAUUAAAAAUAAACACAAGAGGCAUUCACUGACUUGA